CCGGCUUCUCCUGGUACCAGGAUGGUUCUUGGCAUCUAUGGAGUUUUCUUUUGUUACCGUAGCACCGUUCCUCGCUUCUUCUUCUUUUUCACAUUCUCCUUUUCUUAUUCCUAUCUCAUGCCAUCUUGUUCUUGAAAUCAAACCCCAUAUCGUCUCUCCUCUCCUCUGCUUGUCUUCUCUUCUUGAACGAUGGGCGAGGCAACUUUGGAAGGCCGUCUGUACCGUAGGCAACCAGUAUGCAGCCAUUGUUGGAUGGAGAGGUCGCAGGAGGAGAAAGGAAGGGGGAUGUUUCGGCUUUGGUCUCAUCCAUUCAAGAAUCUGAGAGAGCGUCUUUUUCUCUCUCUCUUCUUCUUCUUAGCUUUUCUUUCUCUUUGUUUCUUGAUUUUCUUCUUCAUUUUUUGUUCCCCGAAUUGGGAAAGUGGCAGCGGUUUAAGCUUUAUCUGAAGAGGCUGUAAUGAUUUCUUGACGAACGUUUUGCUGCAUUGUGAAGUAGAAGACGACUAUUUCUAACGGCAAGGCAAUCUUGGAUGGUCUGCUGCUGUUCUACGGGCAAUUUAGAUGCGGAGACUUGGUGACUAACAACACAAUACGAGAUUAAGUGACCAAAUUCUAUGUUGCUGCACCAAUCUGGUUCCGUAAGCUGGUUUCCCUGGCGUUGCUCUUCUAACGUUGCUAGCCGAGGAGUUGACCGGGAUUAAUGACAACUUUAAGUUGCUUCAUUUUUAGAGCCUCUUUUAUGCAAGAGUUUCACAGCAUAUAAAUUUUGCUGGAGACAGUAUUAAAUAAGGUACCUGGAUCAUGUUUCAUAUUGCUAUCAAGUGGUGUACAAGUGCUUCUCGAAGAAUUUCUAUACAACAUCUUCGAAUUUGAUAUGAACUCUGUCCAUUACAACUAUUCUUUGCUCUUAAAUAUCUUAGUAUUGCUUGUCUAGGGGACUUAUUCAUGAAAGCAGUUACUCACCAUACAUUUUUAUAUUCAUUUCAAGCAAAAAUAUAUUUUAUAUCCUUUUGAAAUUGAGGAUUUAUACUUAUACUUGUAUUUUUGCUAUAUAAUUUACAGAUUAGUUGGGAAAGAGUGGAAAUAAAAUGUAAACAUUGUAUUAUUUGUAAUUCGGAAGGUCAGUUGUUCUGCAGCCUACUACUGCAGCAUAUUGGAGACCGGACAAGAUUGCUGGUAGGCAGGAAAAAUGAGCCUUUUCUCUUAUUCAGCUCCACAUAAGAACACUUCUAUACUUUAACUCAAUCUCCUCUCCUUUGUCUUUUCUAACAAUGUUGGAGGAACUUUUACGGUCUGCUAGGGUUGUUUGGAUCUUUCAGAUGCAUGGAUGGGGUCUGUUAGAUGCAGGACUUGUCAGAGCCUCAAAAUCCUAUUUCACAGCUUUUUCAUUGGAUAUGCCUAGUACUAUUAUUAUAUGUGGAAAAUAAGGUGCCUUCAAAGACUUUUGUUGAUUUUUAUUAUGAGGAUUCUGGAAGAACUUGGAUGGUUGCCUCUUCAGUGGUUAUCGUUGCAUGAAAAGAGAUGCAUGCACAUAUAAUUCUUCUUUCAUUUUUUUUUAAUUCUAAUUAUUGAAAUUUUUUUGUGAAGCUUUGGUAAAUUCUUCCCAAUGGGCAAGACAAAUAUUUUUUUGGUUCUCUCUUAGCAAAUCUAUUGGAAAUGGCAAAGCAAGACUAUACUGCAAGACAUAUAAGGAGUCACAGCGCUACCGACAGCUGUCCCAUUUCUUAGCCCGCUCAGUUCUCCGGUUCUCCUGAUAUCAGUGCAGUUCUUGGCGCCUAUGAAGAUUUUUUUAGUUCCUGUAGCACUCCUCCUUUCUUCUUCUUCUUCUUCUUGUUCACCUUCUCCUUGUCUUAUUCCUAUCCUGUGUAAACUUAUUUUUGAACCAAACAUAGCCUUUCUGCAGCUUAAAGUUGUCCUUGAAAUUAACCCCCAUCCCGUGUCUCCUCUCCUCUGCUUGUCUUCUCUGCUUGAACGAUGGGCCAGGCAAUGCUGGAAGGUCUACUGUUCUGCAGGCAACCAGUAUGCAGCCAUUGUUGGAUCGAGAGGUCGCUGGAGGAGAAAAGGAGGGGUAUCUUUCGGUUUCAGUCUCAUCCAUUCAAGAAUCCCAUGAAGCCUACAAGCCCUGGGUAUUAUUCUAUUUCUUCUUCUUUUUCCUCCUUUGCUUCUUUUUCUCUUUCUUCCUUUUCUUUUCUUCUCUCUUGCUUUUCUUCUUCAUUCUUUGUUCCCCAAAUUGGGAAAGUCUUACCUGUUUUAGGUUUAUAUGAAGAGGCUGUGAUGAUUCCUAGGGGAGGGUUUUGCUGCAUUGCAAAGUAGAAAAUGGCUACUUUUACGGCAAGGCAAUCUUGGAUGGUCUGCUGCUAUUCUGCAGGCAACUAGCUGCAGCCUCUUGGGCUUGUAGUUUCAGAGACUUGAAUACUAACAACACAAUGCUGGAUUAAGUGGUGAAUCUGAGCCUCUUCCUCCCCUUCUUUGCUUUUAAAUUUCUUCUUGCCCCCUACAAAGAUUUGGUUUUUUCAAGAUUUCUCUAAUUUCUUUACUGUAAUUAAUUUCUUCAGAUGAUUUUUUCUUUGGCUCCCCAAGAAUACAUACAGUUUGGAGACCAUUGAAAGAUAGCAGUGGGAAUCUUGCAUUGAUAGUUGCUAGGGUUUUGAGAACCUAAAUUCUAAUCUUCUAUUAUGGUUGUUCAACAUUAGGGAUUGCACACUGGGGAUUAGGGUUUAUUACAUUUUUAAGGAUUUUGCAUCUACUCCCUUCCAGCACAUAUUCUCAAUUUUCUUUACUCAUCUUUUUACUUUUUAAGCCUUUUUUAUGCAUGAGUGUCGCGUGCACAUAAAUUUUGCUGGAGCUGGUAUCAAUUAAGGCUAUGCAAUUAUUAUAAUUUCUUAAUCUUGUUAAUACUGAAUACAACUAUUCAAUUAUUUAUGCUGCUGCUUUAUCAGCAUUUAUUUUUCUUAGUCUUCCUACUUGUCCUUGCAGAGGUAGUUAUAGUCUGUUUUGUUUGUAAGUUUUUAUGCUUCAGACACCAGGAUCAUAUUCCAUAUUGCUAUCCGGUGGUGCACAAGAGCGUCUCCAAGAAUUUCUAUACAACUUGUUCUGAUUUGAUUUGGAAUCAGCUACUCCGCAUGCAAGGCUAAGGUCGCAUGUGUCUGGGAUGCCCUAUUUAUAUUUGAUAUGUACUCUGCUUACUACAACCAUCCAUAAUAUUUUGUGCUCUUAGAUGUGAGUAUUGCUUAUCUAAGGGGCUUAUUCAUGGGAAUAGUUACUCACCCAUAUAUUUUGCUAGUCAUUUCGAGAAAAAAUAUAAAUUUUUUGAAAUCAAGAAUCUAUACUUAUCACAAUAUUUUGCAAUAUUAUUUGCAGAUUAGUUGGGGAAAAGUGGAAAUAAAAUGUAAACAUUGUAUUAUUUGCAAAUUGGAAUGUCAGUUGUUCUACAAGCUACUACUGCAGCAUAUUAGAGACUGGGCAAGAUUUUUCUUAGGCAGGGAAAAUAAGCCUUUCUUCUUAUUCAGCUCCACAUCAUUUCUUCUUCUAUUUUUGGAUGGCAUGGAACACUAUUAAUUUAACUCCAUCUUCUCUCCCCUUCUUGUCUUUUAUAACAAUACUGGAGCAACUUUUUAUGGUCUGCAACCUAACAGGCAACCUGCUGCCAUUGCUGGUGGGGUUGUUCUGGUCUUUCAGAUGCAUGACUGGGGUCUAUUAGAUGCAGGAUUCGUCUAAGCCUCAAAAUCCUGUUUCACAGCUCUUUCCCUAAUACAUAUUCAUUGGACAUGCCUAGUACUAUUACUUCAUGCGGAAACAAAGGUGACUUAAUUUUGUUGGUGUUUAUUAUGAGGCUUUUGGAAGAACUUGGAUGAUUGCCUCUUCAAUGAUUAUCUUUGCAUGAAAAGAGAUGCAAAUACAUUUCUUUUCUCAUUAUUUUUUUUAAAAUUCUAAUGAUCUAUCCCUUUUGUGAAGCUUUACCAAUUUCUUCACAAUGGGUAGAAAAAUAUUGUUGGUGCUUCCUCUUUGGAAGUCUAUUGGAAAUGGCAACAUAGGACAGUACUGCAAAAAAUCAGUUGUAUCCAUUUAUUUUGAACAUAUUUGCGAGAUGUUUCCCCUCAAUAGGAUAGUAGCCCCCCACCCCCCCCAACCCCAACCCCUAAAAAAAAAGGUCAAAGUGAACUGCCUUCUUUCCUGUCUUAACAUAUGAGGCAUUCAAUCCAUCAUAUGUGGAAAUUAACCCAAGAGAAAAGAUAAUGUAAGAGGGAGUAUAUAUUUAAGUUUUAUUUAAGAAUAUCUCCACAAUUAACUGAUUAAGUGAACCUUUUCAAUGAUAACUUUCUUAGUUUUCUCAAUCUCUAUCGAUUAUUUAUUAAUGUUCAGUCAAGCAAUUGAUAUGUACGAUACAUUAUAUUCCAAAAAGGUAUUUGGUUUUAGAUAUAUAAUGCUCAUAAUAGAUAUAUAGAUUAUAUCAGGUAUAGUCUGUUGUGUUUUUUGACAUAAUAAAGAUGAGAGCAUCACCAAAUAUAACUUGAUUAUGGACUUGGAUUUGUUUGGCAGAGUUGAGUUGGUUAUAUGCUGAGCAUUCAAACAAUGGAAUUACUGGAAUCAGUUCUCUUAACUUUCUCUGUGAUCUUUACUAUAAUGAUAAGGUAAUGGCUUCUGGAUUUUGACAAUCUUUAUGUGCUAAGAUUUCUGAGAGUGUAAUGGAACGAGGACCUGAAGUAAGUUUUCUCCUGUUGGUGAUUCUUGUAAUCACUUUAUUCAUUUUAAUUUAAAGCUUGUGACAUGCAUGAAUGGAGUGAAACUUUUGCAUGGACAGAGAUAAGUAGUCUUGGUAUCAAAUUUUAGUAGUAUAUGACUAUAGGUUAAGUAUUUAAACUGCAGCUGAAUACAUUUUUUUUUACAACGGCUUAAGGAGGACAUGGUUGUGUCUAAUAUUGAAAAAUUGAACGGAUAGAUAAGUGCUUCUUGGUUAUUGCAUCUGUAAAUGUUGUUUUGAUUGAUCUUAUGAAAAUAAUAGCAGGGUGCGAGAACCUUGACCCAGAGUCCAUGUAGGUUUGAGACAACAGAAAAUUAGUAAUAUGAAUUUAAGAAUGUGAUGAGGAACCUGCUGGUUCAGCUUUACUCAUGAUUGGGUGCAUGGCUCAGUUAGUUCAGUCAUACCAAAGUCAAAAGCUUUCGAGAGCAUGCACCAAGAAUGAAUCAGAUGCUUGGAGAACUUUUUGGAGAAUUGUUUCAUAAACUUGACAUAAGCUGGUGAUGACAGAAAAUGCAGGAAAUGUGGCGAAUAACUAAUAUAAGCAUGCAAAUUAGUUACAGUAAUACUCGCAUAAAAUUCAAACUAAUUUGGAUUACAUACUCUUAUUGUGGACUUCUUUUAUGUAUAAUUGGUAGUGGUUAAACCAAGAUUUGCUGUAACAAUGGGUACCACCGUGCACCACUGGUUUCGAAGUGAGACUUGGUAUGGGGGUGUACCAAGUCUAAUACACUGAAUUGACUCCUGUACCGAAACACUGUAUGAGCAUGAUACCAGUACAUGGUCUAGUACCGAGAUGGCGAACAAUGAAAUGGUGUUGUGCUCUAGAUAAUAAAGGGUAGAAGAAAAGAACUAAAUUUUGAAACAACAAAGUAGACUGAAGCGUGCUGGUUAAAAUUUUUCCUGAAAAAGUAUAUCUUCAUCUCUUUAGAUCCUGUUUCGCUUCUUUUUUGUUUUAUCAUACCACAAUUCUGUAUUGGAUCUAUGCCAUCUACUACUUCAAGCAUUAGAAUCCUCUCUCUCUCUCACACACACACACAUACACGCAUGCAGACAUACAGUGGUUAUUCACCAAACUUGAGUCCUCUCACUUGGAGAGAUGGGUACCAACCAGCUGAGAUACUAGCUAUUGAUGAAUCCACUCUCAUAUUACACUUUUACAAUUCUCACAUAUAGAUAGCUACUGAUACUUGAGAUUUCUAGUUGUCUAUGUUGUCUCUGGUUUAUAUUUUGCUUUUAGUGAGUUCUCAACAUGAGUAGGUAGUAAAUAUGGAUUUCAGCAGAAUUUUGCGAAAAAGUCUGUCAUGCGUAAUUCAUUUAGAAAGUUCUUGGUUAUAAUUUAGGAAACACAAAUAAAUGGUUCUCUGCUCAUAUCUGAUGGCAAAAGAUAUCUGGCAAUUGUUGUUUCAUUUAUGUGGCUGUACUAAGGAAAAAACAGUAUUUGUGAGGAUAUAUUAGCACAAGGUAUUCUUUGCCGAUAUGUGGCUACAAGAUGUUUCAUGUGUGCCACAUGUAAAUGAUGCUUUCCAGCAGCUACUUUAACCUAAUGAAUAAGAUCAACUGUCUAAUAUCACUUGGCAUAUUAGCCUAUAAUGACAGCACACCGAGCUUAUCAGAGAUGAGGAUAUUUAGGUGGAAAGUAGUAAAAUGUAUGUAUAGAGAAUACAAGGCACAAUUACCUGAGAUUGGUUUGCAGAGCUGUCCAUAUGAAGGGGUUAUCCAAGAAAAUUUAGAAGUUGUCAACAAUGAAUUUGAGGAACCUUUCAGGGACAGAGCAUGGCCAUAUCUAGAAAUAUAUGUAAAACUUUCAUUUAUAAAGCUUAAAGAUAUGCUUGCCUCCAAGAUAACUAUGCCUUAAAUUUCGUUAUCACCAUUUGAGUCAACAUUAGAUGUCAUUGGAUACACUAAUGUGACCUUACAUUCUACCUUUUUCUAAAUAACAUGUAAAAAUGCUUUUCUUUGGGUUGUCAUGCAAGAAAAAUCAGUGCCCCUUAUUUUUAGACCUUAUUCUUUACUGGACUGCCUUUCAAAAUAUUUUAUCCUUUGAUAUUCAAUCCUUUGGUAAGCAUUCUUUUUUAUAUCUUGACCUUCUGUUUUUGAUUUUCUGAUCUAUCUUUCUUUAUCAAAUGCUUUCUUUUUAUGCAAAUGGAGGAAGGAAACCUUCCCCCAGAUUUAAUAUCAAAUACUUUAAUGCUGUAAUUUCUGUAAUGAUGAAUACAUUUAAAUGAGAUCUGGUAAAUUCCUACCUAUUCUGAUCCUCUAAUAUGUUUUCUCCCUCAUAAACUCCCCCUUUUUGGAUACUGGGGGAAGGCAAGGAUGCGCAAUGAAAAGGUGUUCAGAUAAGUUACUGUUUUCUUGCUUGCAUCCUUUCUUUCAAUUAGACCAUGUUUAAAUACCACCUGCCUGCUAAAGUUGAAAGAUCUUAGCAGUUUCUUGCAUUAAUGAAAGGAUGAGCAAUCCUCUUUGGGCUUAGGAAGGCCACCAACACUCUGCAGCUGGGUCAGUAAUGGGAGGCAGAAUCAUAUCAUCUUCCCACCACCCAUUUUUUCAUACUAGCUACCGAUAAAGUGAUCAUAUGCAUGAUGGGUAUACCUCUAGAAGCUAAAUGGAUUAUGUGCUUGAUUUGGAGAAACUGGUGCUAUCCAUCAUUAUUAUAAUAGUAAAUUGUAGUAACAGAAAUCUACAAAUGCUGCUUGUCAAAUAUUGUAUUGAGCGUUAAUCACCAUAUAAUUGGCUUUUUGAGAGGCUCUUCCUGGUAAUAUAUUGGUGAUAUUACAAUGAGAUUGAAUAUCUGGAUUUGUUUAUUUUUUAAAGACAGGAUUUGUUGAAGCUUGACAGUAAGAGUCAUCACCCUAAACUAAAUCUAGCUAUAUUAUAUUACUCAAAUAAAAAAUGGAAAAAAUAUCCUGGCUAUACUCCUAUAAUAUAUCAUGCUUGAUUAGCGACUGCCUUAGGUGGCCCUAGUUAUGCUUUGUUCUCUUUUCCUCUUUUUAAUGUAUUCCUGCCAAAAAAGGAAGACCAACUAGGACACAAUACAAGACCAGAGCUGAUCGAAUGCCAGCCAAGGCUAGUCUCUACAGCAUAAAUUAGGACCAGUGUUUAUGCUCAGGCACGGCCUGAUCCGGACAUUGGGUCUCUAUUUUUUGUCCUGGCCCGCACAUUCCUGAAAGGUCAAUAUCAAACCCGCCUAACAAGUCCGAUUUUGAUAUAUUCAUUAGCAUAUAAUAUGAAACUUUAUUGUUAUGAUAUAUAUAUUAGAUAUAUAUAAUUAUCUCAGGCCGGGAUGGGCUAGGUUCAUUUGUUAAUUUUUCUAGGCCCGGCCCGAUUUUUAGUUUGGGCUUUUUUUUUUUUGCCUAGGUUCGUCCCACAUUCGUAGUUUUAGUGUCCAAAUCUGCCAAAUGUCUGGCUGGGCUAAGCAAGCCGGGUGGGCCGUCAGGCUCAUGAUCAGCUCUGCAUAAGAGAUGUAAAAAUCGGCCCUUUUUUUGCCUAGCACAUUCAUAAUUUUCAUGUUCAAAUGUGCCAAAUUUUGGGCUGGGAUAAGCAAGCCGGAUGGGCCGUCGGGCUCAUGAUCAGCUCUACAUAAGAGAUGCAAAAGUGGGAAGAAAAAAAAAUAAUAAUAGCCCAGAUUCACACGGUGACUCUGUAAGCUGCAGGUCAACAAAGACGGUGACGUCCAAUUCCGGGUCGGUCAGCUUUCCCCGUGCGGAAGCUUCUAAACUGACCAGCUACCCCAGUCCGCAAAGCAUUGCUUUGGAUCUAACACAGGAACUGCCUUACUCUAACCCAGGUUUAUUCGACUCAACAUUUACAUAUGGUAUCACUUUAUUCAGACAUUUUUAUAGGUUUAAGGUACCUUAAAGCUCCACUCAGCUAAAAAUCACGUCAAACCAGGAAAGAGCUAUAGGAAGGCAGCAUAUGAAUCUCAGCACCAUUGAGGAAGAGAUGGCAGAUUUGGUCGGGGCUUCCCAAUUCCUCCAUGGCGUUCCCGACAAUGUUGGAAGCUGAUCACCUCCACCAUUGUUUCCAUUGUUUCCUCCUUCAGUGAAUAUGAUGGAAGAAGAAACUUCAUCACACGAGAUAAAAGAAGAAGCUGCGCUUGUUGACUUACCCCACGCUGUAUCCGGCUAAG